rnacentral:lncRNA from 1 species
UAAUCUUAUUCAUCCAUGGGCUAGUUGGAAGGUCUGCAUUUAUUCGAGACUGACCCCCGAAUAGAAGCAUACGUUUAUUGAAUUUUUACGUGACAACUCUGUUUGUUUUGCUUGGUUUCAUACAGAUUGCGGGCUCAGCUCCCAUCUUCGCCCUUUAGCUGGAAGAAGCUUUAACAUAUUUCUUCCUCUUGCCUUGGGCGGACUCUGGUGCUUCAAAACAGGACCUCAGUGCCAAAGAGGACAAAGCCUCUACAACAAUAGUAACAUGAUUGAUCUGUUGUUUAUCUAUGAUGUUUUUAAAAAUAAAGAUAGACUAACACAUAGGAAAUGAAAAUAUAGAGAAAGAAAACUCAAAGAAGAGACUGAGGAAAAAUAAAAGCAAUGAUGCCAAUUGUGUAUAUUUAUAGGCAAAGGGCAAAGCCAAGAAUCUCUAGAGAAUUGAGCUUACACCAAUCACUAAGAGCAGCAAGCAUUGCCUAGAAAAAUUCUACAGGCAGAGCCUGUGAACGUGCCAAGAGCAUUAAUAAGAGAUUGUGCGAAUCUCUCGCCAAUCACGGGUCAAAUCACUGCCAUAUUAGGGAAAUAACCUCACGAAGGACGAAAUCAGAUGAGUGCUCGUCAAGAAGUUUGAAGAGACCCUGACAACGGGAACACUAAUAUAGUACUCCCAUUUAUCUGAAAAUUCUAUUAGUACUUUUGCUGAACUUGCAGAUGCUUCCAUCAAGGCGUACUCUGGAGCCUAAAAGGUGAAAAACCAAGUGGAGGAUUAUUCAUAGUCAUGCAGGGAAAAACAUAAUCGCUCCGAGAUUUCAUACCUUGAUUUUUGAGGGAGACAAUGAUGCUUCCUGAAGUACCAGACAAUUGCGCCGUUGUGGCUUUUACACGACAUCAUAACCUGAGCAACUCCAAAGCUUCAAAGUAACUAAAAGAAAACUUACAAGAAUUCCCUGCCAAAACAUGAAAUAAUGUAUAUCACAAGUACAACACUAAGCUCUGAAAAGAGGAUAACAUCUCGGUACUAUCAGGAUUUGAAGCCAAAGAGCCAGUGGGAUAUAGCCAUCGGAACAAAUCAUUUUUUGAGAUAGGAUGAGCCCAGGUAUUGAGAUUCUAGAUCUCGGUAUGAACCUUAUUCUAGUCCCAUGCACCGGAAGAAUGACAAAAGGCCCAAAUCGAGUCGUGACGAUAGAAAUCUCGGACGGAAGAAUGAUAAAGUGCCUCAUCAAUUAGAAAAAGAAAUAGAAACAUCAAAAAUCGGUGAUUAUCAUCUCCGACCAAAGUUGGCCGACUACAAAUUCAAUGUCAGCACCACUGAUCUGGUGGUGAUGCUCAGGCAAAUGGGGGAAAUAGUAAGAUGGCAAAAGGAGAUGAGAAUGGACCCAUAUAAGCAUAUACACAAAUUCUGGUGCGAGUUCCAGAGUGACCAUUACUACAAAACCUUUGUCACACAAGCUCUCAAAGGUAUCCAUCACCUAUGAGAAGCGACCUGACAGAUCCUCGCCAGAUAAGAAAUUACAUUCAAUGAUGAGGACGUAGAUAGACAGCUCGCGCCAUACAAUGACAGAAUGGUAAUUACUAUAUGAAUUGUUGAUAGUGAUAUUAGACAUGCUUUAGUUGACCCAUGUAGAUCGUCCAAUAUCAUUAAAAUACGAGUAAUCAAGGAGAUGAAGACUAAGGAUUGGAUUAUCCCAAAAACACUACUACUCUCCGGAUACAAUAACUCUAGUAAAAUAACUAAAGGAGAGAACACCUUGAGGACCUUCACAGAAGGGGUAACUAGAGAUACUCCAUUACAAGUCGUGGUAGGGGACAUGGCCUACAACGCCAUAUUGGGAAGACCAUGGAUACAUGACAUGGAUGCGGUACCUUCAAUCUUGCACCAUGUUAUAAAAUUCACUUUAUCAUGGGGAUAGAGAGAUCUAAGGAGAGCAAAGAACAACCUGGAAGUUAAUUCAAUCACAGCCGCCAGUAUAUUUCCUAAAGGGGAGGAAUAUAAACCUGUGACAGUGCAAGUCAAAUUAGUUUUCGGAAAUCGAAUCGUUGAGUCAGAAAAAACAAGCACUGGCAUUUCAACCAUUAAACACAUGAAUAAGUAAUCUUAUUCAUCCAUGGGAUAGUUGGGAGGUCUAUAGUUGUUCGUCACUUACCCCCGAAUAGAAGCAUAAGUUAAUUGAAUCUUUACGUGAUAACUUUAUUUUUUUUGCUUAGUUUCAUACAAACUAUGGGCUACACUUCUAUCUUUGCCUUUUUGCUGGAAGAAGCUUUAACAGCUUUCUUCCUCUUGCCUUGGGCGGACUCUGCUGCUUCAACAGAGGACCUUAGUUCCAAAUAGGACAAAACCUCUACAACUGGAGCAACAUGAUUAACCUCUUGUUUAUCUAUGGAGUUUUUAAAAAUAAAGAGAGACAAACACAGAGGAAAUGAAAUUAUAGAGAAGAAAAAAUCAAAGAAGACAUUGAGAAAAGAUAAAACCAACGAUGCCAAUUGUGUAUAUUUAUAGGCAAAGGGCAAAGACAAGAAUCUCUAGACAAUCGAGCUAGCACCAAUCACUAAGAGCACCCAUCAUUGCCUAGAAAACUGCCACAGGCAAAGCCUGUGAUAUUUUGCGAUGUGUCAAGAGCAUUCAUUAGAGACUGAGCACAUCUCUCGUCAAUCACAUGUCAAAUCACCACCACAUUAGGCAUACGAAAGAGAAAUCUUUCCUGAUAGUGAUGCCUUUCAAGAUUUUUCCUAUUAGAAGUUUUCCCCUUAUUGGGUAAUUAUUAGGAAGCACUCAAAAAAUGGGGGGACUACGAUAUUGGUAGAACAAGCCUAUUUGAUGGCUAGAUCAAUGGUUUUAGUGCAACUAGCUCAAUUGAUGGAUAGAUCUUAACUUGUGUAGCUCGGCAGAAGACUAUUUAGAUAAAUUGCCAUAUGCAGAACUUAAGACUGGCGACUGUUCAAAAGAUCAUAGUCGGUAAUAGACUAUUUCGAUAAGUUGCCAUACCCGACACUUAAGACCAGGGACUGUUCAAAAGAUCACAGUUGUAAAUGAACUCUUUCAAUAAGUUACCAUACCUGACACUUAAGAUCGGGGAAUGUACAAAAGAUCACAGCCGGCAAUAGUCUUUUACCGUAUCCAGCAGUUAAGAUCGGGGGUUGUUCAAAAAAUUGCAAUCAGUUACGACUCUCAGAACAUUGGUUAUUGAUCCCUUCUUUAUUGUCGAUAUUUCAAAAUAACUCACACCCUAAAAUAAAGAGGAGAUGGCCACUUCAUAGGAAUCGGUAAAGUUAAAAAGCCGAAUAAGGCAUUCUUAACCUAUUUUUUUAAUUAUGCGAUAAAUUAAUUUAGGCUUAUCCGAUAAGACUGCAGCAAUCAUGACACGUAAGUAUGCGAAAGAUAAAACAAAAAAGCUUAAAUAAUUUGCUUUUAUAAAAGGCACAAAAGGUCCAUCAUUCAAAAACUAUUAUAAAGGAUACCUUAAAGCGCCUCAUAUUUCCGGCAGGGGUGAUUAGGAGGAAGAAGGUAGAGAGGAAGAAAGAUUAGUCACAUGAGCUUGGGGAAAAGGUUGCGCUUCCGCACCCUCAUUCCCGGGGGCUAUAAUAGGGGCCUCGUCCUCAUCCACUGCACCCUUCUUAUCUCUGGACUCAUCAGAGUCACCAGAGGCAGAGGCACUUAAAGAUUUUGCUUCAUCCACAAAGGCAUCUACCGUAGCAAUUUAUUUAUUCAAGGAGAAAGUGUCACAAUCCAAAAUCCCAUCAAUGGCAGCCAUGGCGCCUAACCCGCUCGCUAGGCAAGAUAACACACAACAAUAACAAUAUGAUCCAAUUAUUAGGCCAUUUAAC